rnacentral:tRNA from 1 species
GCGCCUGUAGCUCAGUGGAUAGAGCAUCGGCCUCCGGAGCUGGGUGCGCAGGUUCGAUUCCUGCCAGGCGCACCA